rnacentral:miRNA from 1 species
UGCAAAUCUUUUGCAACUGUAUA